rnacentral:rRNA from 1 species
AUGUUGAUAUACCCAAGAAGAUGUACAUUCUCACUCAUGUGGAUGCUUUGGCAUGUGAAAAAUGGAGCAAGUUCAGAUAUGGGAGAUAUUACAAAAGUUCCAAGAAAGAUGCCCAAGUGUGGUAAAUGUGGAGUGAUCGGACAUCGUCAAAAUCACGGGGCAAGCGUGCAGAUCCAUUUUAGCCUAAUUUCCUUAGCUUUUGACAUGGUCCCAUUUGAUUUGUGUUUUAAUUUGGACUUUGAUUCAAAAUGUAUUUUCGUUAUGGAAACUGAUAUUGUUUCCCUGCUUGUCCCUGAAUUAUACGCCACUUUUGAAACAUUUGCUAAGUAUUUUUUGUUCCUGCUAAAACACUUUUGA